rnacentral:rRNA from 1 species
AAAAAGGAUCAUUAUAUGAAUUCACUAUGGAGUUGUUGCGUGGCCUCUAGGGGCAUGUGCACGCUUCACUAGUCUUUUAGACCACCUGUGAACUUUUGAUAGAUCUGUGUGAAGUCGUCUCUCAAGUCGUCAGACUUGGUUGCUGGGAUUUAAACGUCUCGGUGUGACUACGCAGUCUAUUUACUUACACACCCCAAAUGUAUGUCUACGAAUGUCAUUUAAUGGGCCUUGUGCACUUUAAAUUAUAAUACAACUUGUCAACAACGGAUCUCUUGGCUCUCGCAUCGAUGAAGAACGCAGCGAAAUGCGAUAAGUAAUGUGAAUUGCAGAAUUCAGUGAAUCAUCGAAUCUUUGAACGCACCUUGCGCCCCUUGGGCUAUUCCGAGGGGCAUGCCUGUUUGAGUGUCAUUAAAUUCUCAAACUCGACUUUGGUCUCUUUCCAAGUUGUGAUGUUUGGAUUGUUGGGGGCUGCUGGCCUUAAUACAGGUCGGCUCCUCUUAAAUGCAUUAGCAACGGACUUCUGCAUUGCCUCUGCGCAUGAUGUGAUAAUUAUCACUCAUCAAUAGCACGCAUGAAUAAGAGUCCAGCUCUCUAAUCGUCCGCAAGGACAAUUUGACAAUUUGACCUCAAAUCAGGUAGGACUAUACUGCCGCUGAACUUAAUCC